UAUUUAUAUUCUAACUGAAUCUUUUAUCAACUCACAUUUUUCUGUUUGUUCUGGGAAUCCAUCAGGCAGCACUCAUUAUUAUACAAUCAUAUAGACGACAAUAAACAUUGGGAAUUCUUCUUAGCAUCAUAUGGAAUUCAUUAUCUAGUACUCACGAACUGUUCAUUGUUUGGUUGAAUGGAACUCCAACAUCGAAAUAUUGGAUGGGGGAAACAAUCAUGGCAAUAUUAUGAAAUAAAGGUUUAUGUCAAGUCUUUUUUUUCAAGUGUUUUUGUGGAGUAAUGGUGACCUACAUUGUGAUGUAUAUUUUCUCUAUUAUUUGGUAUGACUUUUAGUCAGUUACAGAUCUUCUGUAGUUUUAUUUAAUUACAGAUACCAUGAAUAUAUA